rnacentral:lncRNA from 1 species
UUGCUACAGGCGACGUUGCCGCCUCGCCGCCGUCACCGGCCGGGACCUUGCGAACUGUACUGAGGAAGUCCAGGUCAAAUAAGGAAGGAGGUAGAGCCCAGGGAUGCAGCUGUCAGACCUUGGAGAAGGAGCACUUGGAGACUAGAGUGCACAAGAUGGCUCAAAAGGGAUUAAGGAUGAAUGGAGAGAUGGGAGAUUUUGACCAGAAACUAAAAUACUGGAGUUUAAAUGGCUCAAGGCAUUCCUUAAUCUACUCAAAGUGACACCUAAGAUUAACCAUCACAAAUGGGGAUGAAGUCUGGAUUAGCGAGAUGUGCUGUUCCAUUUGGAAGUCAAGGUUGGUGCCACCUAAAUGGGUUCCUGCUGCAAGGAACUUGAUGACAUCCUCCUCUUUCAUUUGCAGAACAUUAAGGACUCCAGACAUUGUGAACAUUUUCCUUUAAGUUAUGAUGGCAAUCCAGAACAACACUGUAUGGACCCCUCUCUAGGUAGUGUGAAAAGGGAUUUGGUGUGUUUUUUGUAUUACUGCAUGCCUAGUCCCUAAAAAAGCCUCUGGCAUAUAAGGAGGUGCUUGGUUAACAUUGUCGAAAGAAAUAAAUGGACUUCAAAUUGAACUGGCUGAUCAAAAGAUUCUGAAUAGAACACUGGAAUAAAUGUGGUUUCACUGGAGCUGAUAUAGAUGUCUGCCUAUUGGAGAACUUUUAAUUUCCUCUCCCAGUUGGCUUCUGGGGGCAUUAGGUGGGCAGAAAGUGAAGGGCAUUUCCAGGUGCUUGAGUGGGUGGCAGGGAAACUGAUUAUAACCUGCCAUUGACUCCUGGUGGCAAAGUCUUCCUUAGGAUGAGUCAUUUCCACUAAGGGCUAAGUUGAUCCAAUAAUAGCUUCAUUUUUAUAAUGAUUUUAUAAUCAGAAAAAAUUAUAAAAGUUAAUAUAUGGCAUAUGUAGAGAGAAAUCUUGUGAGUUUUUUUGUUGGUUGGUUUGUUUGUUUUUUGAGAUAGAGUCUCACUCUUAUCUCCCAGGUUGGAGUGCAGUGGCACUAUCCCAGCUCACUACAACCUCUGCCUCCCAGGUUCAA